rnacentral:rRNA from 1 species
GACGAACGCUGGCGGCGUGCUUAACACAUGCAAGUCGAACGGAGUUACGUAUGAAGUAUUUCGGUACGGACUAUGUAACUUAGUGGCGAACGGGUGAGUAACACGUGGGCAACCUGCCCUUAACCGGGGGAUAACAUUGUGAAAACAGUGCUAAUACCGCAUAACAGAGUAUCGGGCAUCCGAUAUUUUUUAAAAGGAGCAAUCCGGUUUUGGAUGGGCCCGCGUCCAAUUAGCUAGUUGGUGAGGUAACGGCUCACCAAGGCUACGAUUGGUAGCCGAACUGAGAGGUUGAUCGGCCACAUUGGGACUGAGACACGGCCCAGACUCCUACGGGAGGCCAGCAGUGGGGAAUAUUGGGCAAUGGGCGAAAGCCUGACCCAGCGACGCCGCGUGAAGGGAUGAAGGUCUUCGGAUUGUAAACUUCUUUGAUCAGGGAGAAAGAAAUGACGGUACCUGAAGAACAAGCCACGGCUAACUACGUG